CAAAGGCUGCUUAUUUGAAUCUG
rnacentral:piRNA from 1 species